rnacentral:rRNA from 1 species
CUGGAGGUAUCAGAAGUGCGAAUGCUGACAUAAGUAACGAUAAAGCGGGUGAAAAGCCCGCUCGCCGGAAGACCAAGGGUUCCUGUCCAACGUUAAUCGGGGCAGGGUGAGUCGACCCCUAAGGCGAGGCCGAAAGGCGUAGUCGAUGGGAAACAGGUUAAUAUUCCUGUACUUGGUGUUACUGCGAAGGGGGGACGGAGAAGGCUAUGUUGGCCGGGCGACGGUUGUCCCGGUUUAAGCGUGUAGGCUGGUUUUCCAGGCAAAUCCGGAAAAUCAAGGCUGAGGCGUGAUGACGAGGCACUACGGUGCUGAAGCAACAAAUGCCCUGCUUCCAGGAAAAGCCUCUAAGCAUCAGGUAACAUCAAAUCGUACCCCAAACCGACACAGGUGGUCAGGUAGAGAAUACCAAGGCGCUUGAGAGAACUCGGGUGAAGGAACUAGGCAAAAUGGUGCCGUAACUUCGGGAGAAGGCACGCUGAUAUGUAGGUGAAGUCCCUCGCGGAUGGAGCUGAAAUCAGUCGAAGAUACCAGCUGGCUGCAACUGUUUAUUAAAAACACAGCACUGUGCAAACACGAAAGUGGACGUAUACGGUGUGACGCCUGCCCGGUGCCGGAAGGUUAAUUGAUGGGGUUAGCCGCAA